UGGGGAAUAUUGGACAAUGGGCGCAAGCCUGAUCCAGCCAUGCCGCGUGUGUGAAGAAGGCCCUCGGGUUGUAAAGCACUUUAAGCGAGGAGGAAGGUCAUCAUACUAAUAUUAUGAUGAAUUGACGUUACUCGCAGAAUAAGCACCGGCUAACUCUGUGCCAGCAGCCGCGGUAAUACAGAGGGUGCAAGCGUUAAUCGGAAUUACUGGGCGUAAAGCGCGCGUAGGCGGUUUGUUAAGUCGGAUGUGAAAUCCCUGGGCUCAACCUAGGCACUGCAUCCGAUACUGGCUGACUAGAGUGUGGGAGAGGAAGGUAGAAUUCCAGGUGUAGCGGUGAAAUGCGUAGAGAUCUGGAGGAAUACCGAUGGCGAAGGCAGCCUUCUGGCCUAACACUGACGCUGAGGUGCGAAAGCAUGGGGAGCAAACAGG
rnacentral:rRNA from 1 species